UGGGAACCUCCAUAUGCCGCGGGAGCCGCCCAAGAAAUGGCAAAAAAAAGAAAAGAAAAGAAAAGAAAAGAACUUGGGUCAAAUGAAGUGAUGAUUCUCCUGGGAGAAUCUAGUGAAAGACACAGCAUUCCUGGUCUGCCUUUGGGUCUGUGCGGGGACUCCACAUGGUUGGUGAUGCUGCCAGUGCCAGGUGGCUAUUUGUAGAGAGAGCUCUUCUGUCCAGCGUAGCCACCCCCGCAACCCCAGGAACCUGAGGUCAUGAGUCACAAUAUGGAUCUAGUCUAGGUGCCUGAGGCAAAAGAUGAGACUUCCCAAACCGCCUAAACAAGGUUCCUGAACAGCGGGCUGACUAAGAAUGAGUGUCUCUUGCACAACUGAUACACAGAGGAGUUAUGGGACAUGUUAUCACUCACUGGGACAGCUGGGGGAUCUCAUAGCCAGACUGGAUGUUGGAGAUGCCAGCAGCUACCGCAGCGGUGACCAUCAGCUUGGGUUUGUUGAUCUCCUCGGCUUGCCGUCCGUGCAUAUUCCACACAUGCGUAGAAGAAAAUCUGUGGACAUCAACUCAACGCUGACUUCCAGCACUACUCUGAGUUAAGUUAGUCUCUCCCAUCCUUCGUUCCUCGCAUCCUCCCUGGAAUGGAGUCUCCAGAUCCCUCCUCUCCAACUGAGGCUGUAGGAGCUAGGCUUUCUAUGUGGCCUCAGUUUUCUUGCAUGAGAAACUGGUUGUCUGCUUUCCAGUCAAGAUCAAAUGGAAUACAGUUCACCUGCACCAGGACGGGGAAGAGACGCUUGUCCUGAGGAGCACUUCUGAGAGCCAGCGUUCUUCCAAACUCCUACUGGCCCAGGAAUUUGGUGCCUAAGGCGAUAGAAGUCUGGGGGUUCUCAGUAGUGGAAACGGUGGCAGCCAACAGCCCAAAGAAGGCAGGGUGAGGCCUUGGUCAUCCCAACAGCCUUGUCGUGAAAUCAGUGUAGAAAAUCAUCUUGAAAAGUUCCUGGAGCGGCUCCGAAAUCCCAGCUGCCAACAGCCGGGAGAGUUUUCACAUGACUCCUUCUGAGGGAAAAGAAGCAAAGAGUUGUGUCAGAACAAAUGGAAAGAAAGAUUAAGUUAUUUCAGCAUCAGCUGUUGGAGUGAUUGGGAGGUGAGGGAAGAGCUCAUGCAGCCUCUCAUGCUGGUUUUCUCCAUUCUCACACUUCUGUCCUAAAUAGUGAGAGUGGCUGGAGUCGGUGACCUAAGGUUGCUCUGUUUGAAUGUCUCCCCGCAUCUAAUUACUCCCUUUGGAGUAAAGCGCCCAACUCAGGACACCACUGUGUCAUCAUUGCCAGCUUUGGGGCCCUUCCAAGUGCAAGAAUUGUUUGCAUCUGAGCCCAUCAGUACUCAGACUUUCCCAAAUUUCCCUUGGCGACAGAGCCAUAUUUCAAAUGACAACCACCUCCUGUGAGCCAGCAAUUUCCCUUAUGUUAGAGUCAUCACUGUGCUGGAAAUAAUAAGAAAGCUCAGAAAGUAUCUGUGUGCUACUUGUUUGCCUGUUUGGAAUUUCAGCCUGGAGGCGGCUGCGGAAGCUUUUUUUCAAACUGUUCUUGAAGGUGAAAAGAUUUUGUAUCUCAGCGCUUUCAUCACUUACUUGUUUUUCAGUUCAAGGAGAGUUUGGCAGAGAGUUACAUCCUUUCAUUUAAUGGUGCCAUCUCAUUUCCCACAUCUCUCAGCAAUGGCAUAAGUCGGAAGGACAGAGAGUCAUGCCGAGUUUCUGGAUUAUGAAGAAACAAAAAAAAGGAACGCCGUGGUGGUGUCACCCACAAGGAAGACAUACUCAUCGCAGCUGUCAGCAUGAGGAGCAGAGCUUAAGGCAACAGAGAGCAGCUGGAGGAACACACCUGUGAACAGAGGGGCCUUUGUGAUCUAGUGCUUCGCCUGCAGUAGGACACUUUUCCUAUCUUUUACUCCUGGAGUCCUUUUAAUACUCUCGGUAUAGACUCCCAGCUUCUCCUGGAAGCCCACUCCCCUCUGCUCCCACUCACGAGAUCACUAAAGAGGCAUAGGCUUGAUGAAGUGAGGGAGACAGCAGGGCAGAGAGACACCUGUCACCAGGGAAGGAACUUUGUCCCUGUGCUUUUGCCAAAAGCGAUCAACUCAGGCAAUUUAGUUUGAAUUUGAAGGUUAAAAAAAAAGUUUUCAAGUGGCAAAAAACAAACAAACAAACAAACAAAAAAAAAACAAAAAAAAUCAAAACCAAACCACCAAAAACAAAAACAAAAAGCAAAAUAACCAAGAAGAAGAAAAUGGCUCACAGGCACAGUGUUCCCGUGGUUCCUUACCAGUGAGAAGGAUGAGCUGGGUCAGUUGCCUCAGUGUAGAGGCUCCCUUGACCCACCUUCCUUUCUUAGCUUCAUCCUCUUCACUCGUGACCUACCAGAUUCUCCUUCAUCGUGACUGCCUCUAAAGCAAAUGUUGACCUUGGCAGUGCUAACAAAGCCCAGACUCAUUUAAGAACCUGUUAUUGACAGUGAAACCACACUAUCCUACUUCACUUUACAAGAAGCAAAGAUUGGGCUCCUGGCCCAGGAACCAUAUUAAUAAGCUCCAUUGAUGGAGGAGCUUACAUAAUUCAAGAUGGUUUAUGUCCAUGGGGCUCUAUUCUGGAUAGCAAAGCAACGAAUUGGCUAUAUCCUAUUCUCUUUGACAGGCAGAAGCAUGAACCAACGUUGCAUUCAUCUGUUGUUUGCAUUCAUUUGUUCCUUGUAAGAACAAAUGUUCCUCCUUGAGCAAAGGCAUAGAGAGGAGGAACCUGCUCUGGUUUUUUGCACUCAAAUUCUUACGUCUUUUCUCCUAUUCCCUUUCUCGUUCUUAUUCCUCCUACUUUGUCCCAAACGUCUACCCCUCAAAUGGCCCUACUGAGGGGCUCCUUCCCAUUGUGACACUUCCCCAGGUUCAGCCUGCCUCAGCGGCCCCCAGCAUAACAUGUGUCCCCACCAGCCCCUGAGCCUCAUGGGUGACCCUUCCCACGUGGUUAUUCCCCCAGGACAGCACCUUUUCCUGUGGUCCAUAUUUCUGUGACUGUUUCCCAUAUUCUGGUCACCAAGGCUCUCAGCACAAUAUCAUUUUUUCAAUCAUCUCUCUACUUGUCACCACACUUUGGUUACUAAGCUCCAUGGUCCUCCCCUCCUUGGGCCCAGAGUGUCCCCUCUUCUCAGGACCCUCCAUUACUCCCACCACCACUGCUCUCAGAGCUCCUCAUCUGGGACAGCUUACAGGCACACCUCAGAGACAUUGUGGGUUCAGUUCCAGACCACGGCAACGAAGCAAAUACUGCAAUACAGCAAGUUAACAUGUUUUUUUUUUUUUUUUUGGUUUCCCAGUGCAUAUAAAAGUUAUGUUUACACUAUGCUAUAAUCUGUCAAGUGUGUAAUAACAUUAUGUCUGAAAAAAAUGUACAUACCUUAAUUUGAAAAUAUUUCAUUUUUCAGGAGUUGCUGUCGUGGAUCGGCAGUUAAUGAAUCUGACUAUUA